rfam:Trichobilharzia regenti genome assembly, scaffold: TRE_scaffold0017210
CUCAGGUUGGCGAGUCCCAAAUAGGACGAAAUGCGCAUCCUGGAU